GAACAUGGAAAGAUCUUGCAAGAUCCUGCAAGAUCUUAGGUAAGAUCCUGCAAGAACUUGGAAAGAUCUUGCAAGAUCUUUCCAUGAUCUUGCAGGA